UUAGCUCAUAUUUGUAUGGAAUGGAAUCGUUUGCCUACGUUUGCCGUUAGGGGCGCUGUUCCAACUGCAUACAAAAUUGGGUUA
rnacentral:pre_miRNA from 1 species